UUCAUGCUUCCAAAGAAGAAAAAUCCAGAGCAGGGGUAAGAAAGCCCCGGCAGCGGCUCUGCAGGCUCAGGGCUGAGGACCCGGUAAUGAAGUCUUUCUGGAAGGUAGGAAGGGCUGUGUGCAGUGUGCUAUUUUUAAACCUGCUGUAGUGGCAGUUGUAUUCCUGCCCUGGCACUUUCUCUUGCAGAGGAGGGGCUCGGGGGAAUGCAGCCAGGAAUUUAGAUGCUAUUUAUUGUAUUUCCUUUUAUCAGUCAAAUGAUUUUCUUAUUUCCCACGUAGAUAAAGAUCUUGCGCUCCCAGCUUCGGCUUGUUGACCUUGUCAGGACCGCUGUGCUGUCUGGAAAUUGGUCCCAGAGAGAGAGAGAAGGGCAUUGUUGUUAGGGGCUGUUUGGUGGUUUGGGUUUUCAGUCCUCCCAGCAGAGAGGAGCUCAGUUUGCCAAAAAUAAACAAAUAAAAAUCUUCCCCUCAAAACAGAAACUGAUUGUCUUAUGCCUUCUAUUUUUCUCUUGCAAAACUGAAAGGUUGUCCAAUAAGUUUGCUUCAGUAGCUUUCUGCACCUGGCUUGGGAGCUUGGGCAGCGCGCGCGCGCGCGCGCGCGCGCACACACACACACACACACACACACACACUUCUCUCCCUCCCCUCUUUCUUCCUCAUUUCUUUUCCUUCACCGUUUCCCUUCCUUUCUCCUCCUCUCCCUCUCUUCUUCCUCUUUAUCUCCCUCCUUCUCUCUCCCUCCUCCCUCUCUUCCUCCCUACGCCCUUCCUUUUCUCCCAUUUUCUACCUCUUUCCUCUCUCCUUCUCCCCUUCUCUCCUUCUCUCGCUCUCUGUCGUUUCCCCUCCCUCAACCCGGCGAAUCGACUCUGGCAGUGCUGCAGAGCCUUCUUCUUGGCAGGAAACAGGGCAGAGGGCGGGGCCUCCCUCUGUCUGUGUUGCCAGCUCCUGGAGGUGGAGAUGCCAGUAUGCCUGAGCUGAGCCAUGGCAGCUUCCACUCUGCUGGAAGCCUCGGAGGCAGCCAGGCCUCUGCCAGCGCCUUCCAAGGGCACAAUGAGGCCACAGGGCUGCCUCUCGGCCAGAGGCCUCCUCGUGGGCACGCUGCCCCUAUUGUCUCGCCUGGCUUGGGAUUGCUGGCUAGGUUCUCAUGCAGAAGUCAGCGCCACUGCCUCUCACCUCGGAACUAGCUCAGCAGAUGCUGCGGGAGGCUGGAGUUUUAUAGCAAAUCCUCAUUUUUGGCUGGCUCGCAGCUACAGAACAUCAAAAGAACCAGCUAGUCCGAGGGCAGCCAGCCUCUUGCAGGCUCGCAGUGGGAAGAAAAAGGAGGUGCAAGGCCUCCAGCAUGCCACGGUGAGCCAAGGUUUUAACCAGGAACUUGCUUUCCAGACCCCUCGGGUCCUUUCCCUCCACCGCGGUGCUGUCUGAUCUGGACAGCAGAGGGCGCUGCUUCCUCUGACAGCACAGCGACCCAGUCUGGCUUCCCACAUCUGGAAAUGGGCUCUACCACUCUUACGAAAUACCAGAGAGCCGGGGAUCUGUCUGUGUGAGACGUGCUGGCACCCGAAUGCACACGCAUACACAUCAUGAAUUCCACUUUCUCAUGAGUUAGAUUUCCCGUGAAGAGCGCUUGUGGAAUGUGGGGAAUUUGCCUUGCCAAGGCGGCCAGCACAUCCUAUUCUUGGGCUUGUCUGGCCCAGGUUGGAAUGCUUGGAUGGACCACCCUCUGGUCUGAAGCCUUUACCCUCCCCUCCCACGUGGAGAGGGGAAGAAAAAUGGGAGACCUCCCAGAUCUUUUUCUCAAGGGAAGAAAAUUAAAAAUGUUCAGCGCUGACCUUAUAGGCCUUCCUGAUGAAAGCAGAUGUGGACAGCCAAGCAGCUUCCUAAUUACAAGAGAUUAGGAACGCCAAAGUGACAAGCCAAGGAUGGAGGAGGACAGGGCUGAAGCCAGCCAAAAGCCCUCGUUGCUAUUCUGAGUCUGCUCUCCAGACUUCUGAAAGCUGCAUGCAUUUAAAUGUCCACAUUUUCUGCAGAAGCCAGAAAUCUCUACUUCUCUUGGCCAAACAACACAUCAGUCUAAUAUGGUGUGAGAGAAAUAUGUUACAUUCUUUUAUGAACAGAAUGUUAACAUCAACCAGAAUCAAUAUUUAUAUCCAAGAACACAAUGAACUGGCUUGUUUUGGACUGCACGAGUUUAAGACUGGGACAUUGGGAAAGAGUGGGGGGCCCUUCCCUCCCCACCCCUGAAAGACAGACAGGCUGAGGCUCAGGCAUCCCAAAAGCGUUCUGCUUGGAAGUCUGGCCUUGGGUCCUUUCCCUGCCCUGCAGGGCUCCUGUCUCUUGGGAUUGUAAGAAGAAACCAGAGCAGCAGGCGAAGCCGGAUUCCAUGAUGAGGUGCAGGAUGUGAACCCGCAUCCUGUAGGCAGGUCAAGGCCUCCUCCUGUCAAGCUAGGAGAGAAGGGCCAGGGCCAGGCCUGCAUCCGGCCUUUCCUGCUGAACUCAGACUACUAGGUGCUGACACAGGACAGAGGGACACUCGGAAGCUGACAAGGACCAGAAGGGAGUGUUGCCCCUAUGUAGGUGGAUUUUUUUUUUUUUUUUUUUUUUUGGACCAGGCAGUUACUUUCAGGUGAGGCAGGGGCUGGGAAAGAGGCCGAAGCAUCCC
rnacentral:lncRNA from 1 species